rnacentral:lncRNA from 1 species
CGGUUUCCUCAGUCAGCACUCACAUGCCUGAAAGAUCAGCUGCCUUUCUGAAUCAGAGGGUAACUUUGUCAUUCUUUUCCAAUUGAAAAAACGUGACUCAUCAAUUGGUACAGCAGUUGGAUGGCUUAAAGCCAGGCUGUGGCUCUGAACAGCCAGGUACACAAUUCAGGCAGUGGAGAGAAGGCCGUAGGGAGUGGCUGAGAAGUCCCUCAAGAGAAGAGGUUGCUGUUCACUGAUGGUAGAGUGUUUUGAGAGUGGUGAAACCAGGUUAUCCCUUUCUUCUUUUAACAUGUCAUGUGAUUCUCUGAGGGAGCAGCUGCGUGAGUGGAGAUGCUCUCAGUGGUGGAAAAUGGACUGGACCCCCGGGCUGCCAUCCCGAUGCAAAGAGAAAGAUGGUCAUAUGAAGAUGGAGGCAGCAACUGGAGUGAUGUAGCUACAAGCCAAGGAACACCAAGGACUGGCACAACACCAGAAGCUGGAAAAAGACAAGGAAGGAUUCUUCCCUAGAGCCUCCAGAGAGAGCAUGGCCCUGUUAACACCAUUAUUUCAGACUUCUGGCCUCCAGAAUGGUGGGAGAACACAUUUCUGAUUUUUUAAGCCAUCUUCUUUAAGUAAAAGAUUAUCUAUGAUGUUGUAUUUUACAGACCAAGAAACUGAAGCUCAGAAAUGUUGAGUGACUUUUCUUGUCAAGGUUCAUGUUAAAUAGCUGUGACAUGUAAGCAUCUGGUAGUAAAGCCAUGACUAGAAGCAAAACUUUACCAAGUCCAAGUAUGGUGCUUAAUACAAUUCGCUUUGAAUGAUGAAACUCUUGGACAAUCAGCAUACAUUCAUGUGCCAAAUAACAUUAUGGUCAAUGACAGACCACAUAAACAAUGAUGGUCUUAUAAGAUUGUAAUACAGCUGAAGAAUUCCUAUCUUAGCACAAAGCACUACUCAUGUGUUUGUGGUGAUGCUGGUGUAAAGAAACCUACAGUGCUCCUAUUCAUAUAGAAGUAUACCACAUACAAUUAUGUCCAGUAAGAAUAUAAUAGUUGAUAAUAAGAACUAUGUUACUUUUUUUUUU